rnacentral:rRNA from 1 species
AUAGCUCAAUUUCCUUGAACCUUAAAUCCAUUAAACUACUAUCAACCCCUCCCUACUACUGAACUAUUUUAUAUGUUAUAAAAAUAAUAAUGCUAGAACUAGUAACAAGAAUCGGCCCUUCUCCUAAAUGUGAAUUAAAGCCAAAAUGGACACUCCAUUGGCAAUUACCGCAAAUGCACUAACCAUAGUACCUCAUGCAAGAAAACCCUAUUACCCUCAGCGUUAACCUAACACCAGAACAUUACAGGAAAGAUUAACAGAGAAAGAAGGAACUCGGCAAAUUUCAGUCCCGCCUGUUUACCAAAAACAUCGCCUCUUGUUUAAAUAUAAGAGGUCCAGCCUGCCCAGUGACAUAGUUCAACGGCCGCGGUAUCCUAACCGUGCGAAGGUAGCAUAAUCACUUGUUCUUUAAAUAAGGACUAGUAUCAACGGCACCACGAGGACUGUACUGUCUCCUUUCUCCAAUCAGUGAAACUGAUCUCCCCGUGAAGAAGCGGGGAUAAAUAUAUAAGACGAGAAGACCCCAUGGAGCUUAAAACCUCACACAUCUCUAUGUUAUUAAAUCACUUAAACAAGGGGGGUUGUGGCUGGGUUUUAGGUUGGGGAGACCACGGAGUAAAAUUAAACCUCCAUGACAAACGGGCCAACGCCCUCACCCAUGAAUUACAAUUCUAAGUAUUAACAAACUAAUGUUGAUGAUCCGGUUAGCCGAUCAACGAACCAAGUUACCCUGGGGAUAACAGCGCCAUCUGCUUCAAGAGCCCCUAUCGACAAGCAGGUUUACGACCUCGAUGUUGGAUCAGGGUAUCCUAGUGGUGCAGCCGCUACUAAAGGUUCGUUUGUUCAACGAUUAAAA